rnacentral:lncRNA from 1 species
GGAAUGCUGAAAACAAUCAAAGUCACUGCAGUUCUAUAAACAUUAUGCUUCCCUUGCAGUGUGAGGCAAAAAUUAUUGCUGAAUACUGAAAUAACGUCACAAACGAAAACUCAAAAGCUGCCUGAAACCUGUGGAAGGUAUAAUCUCUCCACUGCUCCCUGACACUCCACUCAGGUUUCACAACAAAGGAUGCUUCAAGGCAAUGUUAUCAUAGGUCUGAAAUAUUUUUCCCAUUAAGUUUUUCAGACAUCUUCGGCGAAGUGGGAUAAGGGAGAAUCUUCCUGUCCGAAAUGCCCUCCUGACCCAAAGGCGAAAAAUCCAGACCCUCCGCGGACGAGGUUGCCCUCCUUGGACACAAACUCCGGACCCAGGAGUACCCAGCCUCCCCUGUCGGCCUCGAACCCCGGCCCCUCCAGGGCCCCCGGCGUCCGCAGGCUCCGGGCGCGUUCUCAUUCUCUCCUCCCUGCCUUGAGGCAGAACUCC